rnacentral:rRNA from 1 species
CAGCCCUAAACAAUGCGCGUUAGGUGUAUCGGUGACCACGAGUCACCGAGGUGCCGAAGGGAAACCGUGAAACGUGCCGCCUGGGAAGUACGGUCGCAAGGCUGAAACUUAAAGGAAUUGGCGGGGGGAGCACCACAACGGGUGGAGCCUGCGGUUUAAUUGGACUCAACGCCGGGAAGCUCACCGGAUAAGACAGCGGAAUGAUUGCCGGGCUGAAGACCCUGCAUGACCAGCUGAGAGGAGGUGCAUGGCGUAGACGUCU